UUUUUGGGCUUGGUAAUUGGAAUGAGGGAGAGUUAAACGGACCAUCGAGUAUCCAUUGGAGGGCAAGUCUGGUGCCAGCAGCUGCGGUAAUACCAGCUCCAAUAGCGUAUAUUAAAGUUGUUGCAGUUAAAAAGCUCGUAGUUGGACUUGUGUGCGCUGUCCGCGGGUGGCCUGCGCCCAAAAGGCGUUUCGGUUCGGCCCCGGUGGCGCCUUGAAAUCUGCAGCUGGGGGGACGUUGGCCUUAACUGGUCGGCGACCGCACGCCGGCUGCUCGGUUACUGUGAGAAAAUUAGAGUGUUCAAGGCAGGCAUUGGGUGCAAUUGAAUACAUUAGCAUGGAAUAAUAAAAUAUGGCUCCUGCCGUAUUUUGUUGGUUUUGACUGGUGGGAGUAAUGAUUGAUAGGGACGGUUGGGGGUCUAGUAUUGAGCGGCCAGAGGUGAAAUUCAUGGAUUCGCUCAAGACUAACUUAUGCGAAAGCAUUCACCAAGGACGUCCUCUUUAAUCAAGAACGAAAGUUGGGGGAUCGAAGACGAUCAGAUACCGUCGUAGUCUCAACCAUAAACUAUGUCGACUUGGGAUCGGCGGUAGUUUUUUCAUUAAGACACUGUCGGGACCACGGGAGAAAUCAAAGUGUCUGGACUCUGGGGGAAGUAUGGUCGCAAGGCUGAAACUUGAAGGAAUUGACGGAAGGGCACCACCAGGAGUGGAGCCUGCGGCUUAAUUUGACCCAACACGGGGAAACUUACCAGGUCCAGAGAUGUAGAGGAUUGACAGAUUGAAGCUCUUUCUUGAUCACUUCGGUGGUGGUGCAUGGCCGUUCUUGGUUGGUGGAGUGAUUUGUCUGGUUAAUUCCGUUAACGAACGAGACCUCAGCCUGCUAGUGUAGUCGGCUGGAUUGCCUUUGGCGAUCCGUGAUUUCGACUUCUUAGAGGGACAAUCGACGCGCAGUCGAUGGAAGUUUGAGGCAAUAACAGGUCUGUGAUGCCCUUAGAUGUUCUGGGCCGCACGCGCGCUACACUGCUGGGCUCAGCGAGUUUUACUUGGCCGAGAGGCCCGGUUAAUCUUGUGAAAUCCCAGCGUGCUUGGGCUCGCCUCCUGCAACUGGAGGCGCCAACGAGGAAUUCCUAGUAGACGCAGGUCAUCAACCUGCAUCGAUUACGUCCCUGCCCUUUGUACACACCGCCCGUCGUUCCAUAAGAGUGAGGCAUCCGGUGAAUUCUCGGGAGAGCCUGGGCGUGGCCAGCAAUGGUCUGCUCGGGUUUGAACUUGCAUAAACUUGGUGCCUAUGAUUAGGG
rnacentral:rRNA from 1 species